rnacentral:rRNA from 1 species
ACUCAAAUGAAUUGACGGGGGCCCGCACAAGCAGCGGAGCAUGUGGUUUAAUUCGAAGCAACGCGAAGAACCUUACCAGGUCUUGACAUCCAGGUAAAACCAUAGAGAUAUGGAGUGUGUUCGCACAAUCUGAGACAGGUGGUGCAUGGUUGUCGUCAGCUCGUGUCGUGAGAUGUUGGGUUAAGUCCCGCAACGAGCGCAACCCUUGUGAUCAGUUACUAACGGGAAAGCCGAGGACUCUGAUAAGACUGCCGGGGACAACUCGGAGGAAGGUGGGGACGACGUCAAAUCAUCAUGCCCCUUAUGACCUGGGCUACACACGUGCUACAAUGGCCACGACAGAGAGGAGCGAAUUCGAAAGGAAGAGCGGAUCUCAGAAAAGUGGUCCCAGUUCGGAUUGUGGGCUGCAACCCGCCCACAUGAAGUCGGAGUUGCUAGUAAUCGCGGAUCAGCAUGCCGCGGUGAAUACGUUCCCGGGCCUUGUACACACCGCCCGU